AGACAGGGGCAGCACCCCCUGUUUGCUGCCUUUCCAGGGAGGGCAGCACGAGAAAGAAAGAGGGAGGCAAGCGAAAUUCCUGAAUGGAUAGACAGAUGCUACGUCAUCGGAGCCGCAUCCUCCACUCCACAAGAGGCUAGGAGCCGGAGAAAGAGGCAGGCCAGCGGCAGGGGCCACCGAGCCAGCGCGCCUCCUCCCAGAAGCCGGAGCAGAGCAUCGGAGAAGAAGCAGCCUCAUUUGCUUCUGGUGUCAUCGAACCUUCCUGACCCAGGGAUUGAACUUGCCUCUCCUGCUUCUCCUGUAUCGGCAGGCAGAUUCUUUACCACUGAGCCACCUGGGAAGCCCUACUAGCUGCGUGGCCUUAGGAAAUUUCAUGAUCUUGCUUAUUCCUGUCUUGGAAAAUCCUUUCCAAUGUCUAACCAAGAUCUGUACUGCUGAAGUACCAGUUCUUUGACCUAUGGCUUGACAUGGCUGAUUUGAGAGGUACAGCUUCCCACCACCCAGGAAGGAAGGAACUGGCCUGGAUUUUGGCAACCUCUUGCUUGUACCAAAAAGAAGAACCUACUUCAUCCAGUUGGCUUCAGUGCCCUGUGAGAAGCCUUCCUGAUUGACGGAAAGAUGAGACUAAAUUCUAGCAAGUUGAGUGGCUCCUUCAAGAAGCCUGUGUGCAGGGUAGAAGUGGAGAGGCCAUAGCCUCCAGCCUGGGCAGCCCAUUGGCACCUGGAGCCACCUCAACUUUGCCUCCCCUUUGCUCCUGUGUCUAUAAGCUGCCCAGCCCAGCCCGUCCUGGUUUCUCCUGUGUCUUCUGAGCUGAGAUUUCUCUGAGAUGGAAGCCCCAUCCCAUGUCUAAUAAAGACUCUUGAAUACUGAA
rnacentral:lncRNA from 1 species